rnacentral:rRNA from 1 species
AUUGAACGCUGGCGGCAGGCCUAACACAUGCAAGUCGAACGAGUGGCGGACGGGUGAGUAAUGUCUGGGAAACUGCCCGAUGGAGGGGGAUAACUACUGGAAACGGUAGCUAAUACCGCAUACCAUCGGAUGUGCCCAGAUGGGAUUAGCUUGUAGGGGAGGUAACGGCUCACCUAGGCGACGAUGCCUAGCUGGUCUGAGAGGAUGACCAGCGACACGGGAACUGAGACACGGUGCAGACCCCUACGGGAGGCAGCAGUGGGGAAUAUGGCACAAUGGGCGCAAGCCUGAUGCAGCCAUGCCGCGUGUAUGAAGACGGCCUUCGGGUUGUAAAGUACUUUCAGCGGGGAGGCGUUACCCGAAGAAGACGCACCGGCUAACUCCGUGCCAGCAGCCGCGGUAAUGC